CUACGGGCGGCAGCAGUCGAGGAAAUUUUACAAUGCUCGAAAGAGUGAUAAAAUGAGCCAGAGUGUUUUCUUUUAGAAAACUUUUAUUUGUUGUAAAAAGACAGAUGAAUAAGGACUGGGCAAGACCGGUGCCAGCCGCCGCGGUAAUCCCGGCGGUCCAAGUCGCAUCCACAUUUAUUGGGUCUAAAACAUUCGUAGCUUGUUUUGUAAGUCUCUUGUGAAAUUCUAUAUCUUAAGUAUAGAGCUUGCAAGAGAUACUACCUAACUUGAGACCGGAAGACGCAAAGAGUAUGAUUGAGGUAAUGGUAAAAUAUGUUAAUCUCAAUUAGACUAACAAUAGCGAAGGCACUUUGCGAGUACGGAUCUGACAGUGAGGAAUGAAGGCUAGGGGCGCAAAAGGGAUUAGAUACCCCAGUAGUC
rnacentral:rRNA from 1 species